UACGGAGGGGGCAAGCGUUGUUCGGAAUUACUGGGCGUAAAGGGCGCGCAGGCGGCUGCUCAAGUCAGGCGUGAAAGGCCUGGGCUCAACCCGGGAAUUGCGCUUGAGACUGGGCUGGCUUGAGUGCGGGAGAGGAUGGUGGAAUUCCCAGUGUAGAGGUGAAAUUCGUAGAUAUUGGGAAGAACACCGGUGGCGAAGGCGGCCAUCUGGACCGCAACUGACGCUGAGGCGCGGAAAAGCGUGGGGGAGCAAACAGGG
rnacentral:rRNA from 1 species